AUUGAACGCUGGCGGCAGGCCUAACACAUGCAAGUCGAGCGAGCGGCGGACGGGUGAGUAAUGUCUGGGAAACUGCCUGAUGGAGGGGGAUAACUACUGGAAACGGUAGCUAAUACCGCAUACAAUCCGAUGUGCACAGGUGGGAUUAGCUAGGAGGUGGGGUAAUGGCUCACCUAGGUGACGAUCCCUAGCUGGUCUGAGAGGAUGACCCGCCACACUGGAACUGAGACACGCUCCAGCCUCCUACGUGAGGCAGCAGUGGGGAAGAUUGCACAAUGGGCUCAAGCCUGAUUCAGCCAUGCCGCGUGUAUGAAGAAGGCCUUCGGGUUGUAAAGUACUUUCAGCGGGGAGGCGUUACCCGCAGAAGAAGCACCGGCUAACUCCGGGCCAGCAGCCGCGGUAAUAC
rnacentral:rRNA from 1 species